rnacentral:rRNA from 1 species
AUAGAGACUCAGACUGCAUAUCAAUAAGCGGAGGAAAAGAAACUAACAAGGAUUCCCUUAGUAACGGCGAGUGAAGCGGGAAGAGCUCGAAUUUGAAAUCUUCAAGGGUUUCCCUUGACGAAUUGUAGUUUAGAGAAGUGUUUUCUGUUAGAGAGGUGGUAAAAGUUCUUUGGAAUAGGACAUCAUAGAGGGUGAGAAUCCCGUAUUUGAUCACUUUCUACUAACGUUGUGAUACACUUUCAAAGAGUCGGAUUGUUUGGGAAUGCAGUCCAAAAUGGGUGGUAAAUUUCAUCUAAAGCUAAAUAUUGGCGAGAGACCGAUAGCGGAACAAGUACCGUGAGGGAAAGAUGAAAAGAACUUUGAAAAGAGAGUUAAACAGUACGUGAAAUUGUCAAAAGGGAAGCGUUUGACACCAGUGUUGUUUUUCCGAAAAUCAAUUAUGAAUGGCUUGAUUUUAGAAGUUUCAUGACCUUAAAGGCUUGUUGCUUAUUUUCUUGUACUUUCGUAAUGCACUUUUCGGUUAACAAGUCAACAUCAAUUUCUUUUGUUGUAAAAGGGUAUGAGGAAGGUGGCUUUCUUUUCGGAGAAAGUGUUUAUAGCCUUGUGCCUCUGCAAUCGGAGAGAUUGAGGUCUGCAGCGUAGAUCCUUCGGGGUUAGAUACAUUUGUGCUAAGUUAUAGCUUUUCAUAGACAACUUGUUGACUAUGUUUAGUCUUGUAGCUUACUCGCUAUGCGCUAUUUUACCUACGCUUAGGAUGUUGAUAUGCAUGACUGAUAU